AAGGUGCUUUACAACAAUCAAUAAACAUUUUAAUACUUUACAAAACGUCAAGAAGUGAGCCAAGCGCAAUCCUUUGAGCGCCAAGCGGGCAGUGAGUGAUGAUGCAUUUCAUCCGCUCCUUGCCAUUGAUGACCGUUCCAUGCUCUCUAGUGGAGCCUGGAGGUAGGGAUCAUGAUCAGAGUGGU
ensembl:snoRNA U3 Small nucleolar RNA U3